GGCAACUUUUCUGAUGAGUGCAAUCUAAAAUUUCUUCAGAAGUCAAUGUGCCACAUCAACCAACUUUUUUCAACUAGCCAACCUUUCUCCUACAUCAAACGCUGCCCGUGGCUGUGGAAUGGUGGCAGUCGUAAGAAGGGAAACCUGUUGGAGUUCUAAAUGUUACAUCUUAAAAGUUGUCUCUGCUUUCACGUUUUUCAGCUCAAUCUCCCUGGCUCUGGCCAGCUCUGCCCCUAAACGCCUAAGUUCCAACUCCUCCUUCAGAUGAAACUCCCUUUCGCAUUUUUCUCUCUCCAGCUGGAGAUGAGCCAGAUGAACUCGUAGCCUAGCAUCCUGCUUUGAACCCAAAAAGAACUGUAUCGAGAGUGGCUCAAAAUGAGGCAGUGUCGUCGGCAGUGCCCUCAGGCAGUUCCUGAGCAACAGGCGUAGACACAGAUGGUGCUAUAGCUUGAUCUGGCAACAGGGGAACAUGCUGAGAUGCUACACCAUGCUCAGCCAACUCAACUGUUGAGACCCCAAUCUCGUUAAACAAUGCCAUCUCAUAUAUACACACGUAUACACACGUAUACACACACACACACACUUAUUUAUUUGCUAUCCAGCACUCAUUACUUCAGCUUAAACUUUUUGAUCACAAAUUUGUGAUCAUACUUGUGGAUCACAAUGACACAUAAUGAUUAGGCAUAUGAUUUACUAAUGUCUGGUUUUAGAGCUGUGAGCUAUGAGCUGUGAGCAAUGCAAAGUUUUUUCCUAACUUAAAAGUUUGAAAUAUGUAAGAUGUGUGGGUUCUUUGAAAAAAAUAGAAAUGACCUAAAUGCCUUAAGUAAAAUGUAGUGUUCUCAGGUGGUAACUGGUGUCUCACUACUGGCAACGGCUCUGCUCAUCACACUAUCCACCCAGGAAGAAGGAAGACAACAAUACACGAGCCGAGAAAAGAGAUGGACUAUGCCUGGUACAGAUACGCGUUUAACAGAACUGCAGAGAAAGACUGUUAUGUUUGCUCGCACAUGCCGAGCGUAUUAGCACAACCAUAUAUGGGAAACACCCUGAGAAUGACUUUUGUAAAGUGCACAACAACAUCAACAUCCUCAUCCAGGAAGAAGCGCUCAACUUUAACAAGUUUUAAAGAGACUGUUGAUUGUCGUUGGACUUUUCCUGAUUUUAUUUUUCUUUAUUUGAGUUAUUCCUUGUUUAAAGCCGUAAUUUCACAGAUGAUAAGUUUGUCACUCACAGCAUACGCAGAUGUACCAAAACCGAUGAAGAUCAUGAAGACUUCUUUUCCUAUUUGUUAGAUGAAGAUGAAGUGUAACUAAUGAUGUAGUAACUGAGAAUGUGAAAGACAAGUAGUUACUCACUGAUGAAUUGUACAUUUCAUUUCGUGAUCAACAGGAGGGAAUGUCAAAAGAGAAUAUUGUAUAAUGUGAUCAGCUAUAUGAAAUGUAUCUUUUUAUUUUAUCAUUAAGCACAUGUCUAUGUGACUUUUCACCUAGUAACUUUUGACAUGAACUCUUCUGUGAUAAACAACUUGCAGCUUCCUCUUUCUGGUUUGGAAGAUACAGACUUAGAAAAGGGGAACCUCAGCUCUGAGUUCUGAGAAUAACUCUGUUAUCUUUAUACACACACACACACACACACACACACACACACACACACACACACACACACACACACACACACACACACACACACACACACACACACACACACACACACACACACACACACACACACACACACACACACACACACACACACACACACACACACACACACACACACACACACACACACACACAAAAAAAAUAUAUUUUUUGGCAUUUUGCCUUUAUUGGGUAGCGAUAGUGAAGACAGACAGGAAAGCGGAUAGAAGACAUGGAAGGAAGACAUGCAGCAAAGGGCCACAGGUCGGACUGACUGUAACUGGUGCGUUUCUUAAUUGCUUUUGUUUUAGAUCAGGGUUCCCAGUGUGCAGUUUGCCAAGCAAGUGCUGCAACAAUUAAAAACAAAAAACAACAAAAAUAAUACAUUCCCAUAAAGGGAGUCAUCAACCAUAGAAAAUAAUCACGUUUAAUCACAGAAUGUUUUGAUUGUUUAGAAACCUACCUACUGAUUGUGUACUUCAAAAAUAAGAAUAGGAGAUUAGCGUUCUGUGUAAUUUCAUUAUUAUUAACGUAUGUUUUUCUAGUUAAGAUUUCUCAGCCAUUUCAAUUGGUUGGAAUGGACCUUCUUGGGAAACUUAGAAACCAAAAGGGGACAUCAGUACAUUUGUGUUUUCAUUGGCUACUUCAAAAUACCAACACGGAUCCCCACUGAAGUCUAAAUCAGCAAAGGAAGUGACAAACUGAUCAAAUUUGUCCAUCAGUUUGAAGCACCUAACAGGGUUCUUAGUGAGCAAGGAAAAGAAUUUGUCAAUUCAGUAAGUACUUCAGUCUUUGGCAAAAAUUGUUAUUGGCAUGUAACACUUUAAAAAAAAUUAUAUACGUCUUUAAGCUUCUACUUCUGGUUUUUAUAAAUCUGUUUGAUAUUUUUAUGACUGCUGUAUAUUUCAAAUCUUCUUGUAAUGUACUUAGUCAGUAUAUUUGACUUGCUGUUGCAGCUCAAAAGGUUAUGCAGAAUGUUACACAGAAGAAACCUCUGCUCCCCAUAUCACCCACAAACAAAUGGCUCAGUAGAGAGAAUGAAUGGCACCAUCCAGAGAGCCCUCUGUAAGGUUGUUGGUGACCAUCCAGAAACAUGGGAUGACUAUCUGGAUGUUGUGAUGUUUGGUCUCAGAACAAAAAAGCAAAUGACCACUGAAAUACUCACCCCAUUACCUGAUUUUUGGCAGAGAGGCUCGUUAUCCAUAUGAAAUCCCAGAACAUUACAUGGUCUUUCUGUCUGUGACAGACUACAGGAAAAUCCUACGCAAAGCACCUUAGUAAGUUUUUGAUGCACAGGCAGAACAGUUUGAAUGCAUGCUACAUCACCACCUUAAAAGCAACAAUAGUAUCAGAUCCAGGGGUCAGAAGCUACAGCAAAGGAAGAAAACGCCACCAGAACCAGCACGCGCUGCAGGUCCACAAGCCAAAUCACAAACAGCAGCAGACCCAGCCUCACAGACCACAGCAGCAGACCUCGAUCCAAAAGCUACAACUCCACCAGCAACUACUCCCCAGGUUGUAGCACCACCAGCAUCAACUACUCCUAAGUAAUCUACAGCACAAACUGUAGAAGCAACAGUACUACCAGUGACAGCAGCAACAGCCUUACAAGCUACCCCCUGCACCACCUCCAGCAUCAUCACCUCAAAGAUAUACUCAAGCUGUUGCAGAGAAAUGUAAAAAAAGAAAAAGAAAAUAACAAUUUUGUGAUUUGCUUAAAAAGCCCUUUAUUCCUAUGAUACUCUGUUACAUUACUCUUUAGAUCAUGGCACAGGAUAUUUUACACAAUUUCCCUGUUGGUUUAGGUAUAUUAUUCAAAAGACUUAAAAUUCAAUACUCUGUUAAUGCAUUUUCAAAAAAUAUACCUUCAUCAAGCAAGGCUGUAACUCACAUGUGUCACGUGACAUAAAUAAUUGAUUCUUUCAACAACAACAACAAAAACAACAACAAAAAAAAAGAGUCAUAUUUCUUUGUUAUUGUGUAAACCAGAAUGUUCAGAAUUGACAUUGUACUUAUAAUGUACACUACCAGUUAAAAGUUUGGACACCUUCCCAUUCAAAGUUCUGUUUUCAUGGCUACUUGCAUUGUAGAUUCUCACUGAAGGCAUCAAAACUAUGAACGAACCCAUAUGGAACCCUAACCUGAUCAUAUAGUAAAGAAAAAAGUAUAAAAUAAAAAGAGGUUUUGUGUCUUAGUCUUCAAAAUAGCCACCCUUUGCUUUGCACACCCUUUGCCUUCUCAGUAAGCUUCAUAAAGUAGUCACCUGAAAUGGUUGUCACUGCACAGGUGACACACAAAGCAGAGGUGACUCUUGGCCUUCCUUUCCUGGGAUGGGCCUCAUGUGAGCCAGUUUCAUUGUAGCGCUUGAUGGUUUUUGCAACUACAGUUUGGUUGUCUUUGGGGAUCAGGACCGUCUGGGUAGUGAUGUGUCCUGUGUGUCGAAGCUUCAAAGCGUGUCGGGUAAUCUCGGGGGAGUUUUUGUGAAGUGUGUACAGAGGCUUGCUUUGAUUACGUAUGCAGUGACGUUCGAGGCCUCGCGGGCAGCCCGUACCACAUGACUGAUUCAGGAACUGGCUCGCCAGUUUCCAAAUAAAAUGGGUAACAAAACACAGCUGAUUCCCCCAUCACAUUGUUUUGUGGAAUUGGAUUACGUACAUGUUACAUAGUUACUCGAGCAUUUCUUCUUCGAUGGAACCAGCAAGGAAGAGAAGAUUUCCCCUGUCUGGCAACACUGAUCUCAUCUCUCCUAAUAAGGUAUGCACACAGUAAUAAAUAUCACAAAUGAUAAGUACCAUAAUAUAAAUAAACCACACCACAGAUCCUAUAAUCUGAUUUCUGUCUUUUGGUUUAUUGAAAGGUGAAGUGUUUGUUGUGCUCCAAAGAACUUGGAUACAGCAACAACACCUCAACUAUGCUGAGGCAUUACAGAGCCCUGUGUGAAAACAAGGAGACUAUCCAAGGUGGACCAAGCUCAGGUAAGUUUUUUUUAGGUUGCAAGGAUACAGUCAUUUGAUACAUUUACAUUCCCCAUGUCAUUCAUUUAUAUUUGGGUUGUAAUUACUGCUAUAUGUAAUUUCUUAAUGUUUUGUUUGUUUUAUCAGGGGAGAGGAAUGAUAUGGAUGAGGCAUUGGUCAACAUGGUGAUAGAUUCCCAGCCCUUCACUAUUGUGGAGGACAGUGGGUUUAGAAAGCUUGUUAAAGCUUUGAACCUUAACUGUUCUCCCCACAAGGCAGGUGUGUAUCUUAAAAAUAUGAAGCAUGUUUCCAGUUUGCCUAUAUUUCCAUAUUAAUAGCGGUACUUUCUUUUGUUUAGGCUUUGAAAGCUAUGGUGGACCAAAGAUACAAAGAGUCCAAACAAAAAGAAAAACUGACUGUGGCAAAGGCUUCUGUAGUUAGUUUGACAUCUGAUAUGUGGACCUCCAUUAACACAGAGGGUUUCCUAGCUGUCACCUGCCAUGUCAUUGAUUCUAACACUGCAUUGCAUUCUGUAGUGUUAGGUGUUCAGCACUUCCCUAAAGCACAUACUGCUAUCAAUUUGUCCCAAGUAACAGCAGCGCUCAUGUCAGAGUGGGGAAUUACAGACAAAGUUACAUGUUAUGUGACUGAUGGAGCAGCAAACAUGGGUGCUUGUGCAAAGGAGCUUUGUUUGCAUCACAGUAAUUGUGUGGCGCAUACAUUGAACCUAAUGGUCAAAAAAAGCUCUUGAUCAACACACCGCGCUGUCUGAGAUCCAGACCACCUGUAGGAGGACCGUGGGAUAUUUCAAGAGCAGUGCAACUGCUAAGGAGAGGCUGACAGAGGUGCAAGAGCAAAUGGGCCGGCCUCCACUGAAGUUAAUUCAAGAGGUGGAUACAUGUUGGAACAGCACAUUCCAAAUGCUUCAAUGUAUUCAUGAGCUCAGGGAACCUAUUGGAGCAUCGUUAGCUGGCCUGCACACUGAUAUUUGCCCACUAUCCUCUGAACAGUAUGACCUUAUGGCAGAAUGUCUCAAAAUGCUCUCCCCAUUUAAUGAUGCCACCACUGAGCUGUCAGAGGAAAAGAGUGUCUGAAUCCAAAGUAAUUCCACUUCUAACCAUGUUGCACCAUGCACUAAAUUAAGAGGAAAUGGGAGUUGUCCUAACUCCAGAGAGGUCCACCAUGGUUGAGUGUCUGAGGAGACAAUUAAAGGAGAAGCUCUACAUGUUGCAGUCAAUGAGCAUCAUGUCACUGGCAACAUUGCUGGAUCCAAGGUUUAAAAAAAAAAAAAAAAAAAAAAAAAAAAAAAAGAGGCUUCUUUAGCCCCAAUAAAGCACUGGAUGCUGAGAGGAGACUCAUUUUUGAGUGUGCUGCUGCUUUGCAGCACUUGGCAGCCUCUCAGCCUGUGACUUAAGGUGUAUGAGCACAUUUUGAUUAUUUUAUUGUAUUUAGUUACUUACAUCCUGUUUGUUUUAAGCUAUGUCCACGCUAGCCCGGAUAGAUUUGAAAAAGGCGUUUGUCUGAAAACGCUCUGCGUCCACACUAGCCUCUUCAGUUGUUUUCAAAGAGUUGCGCGUCCACACUAAAACAGCCAAAAAAAACAAAAAAAACCUGACGUUGCAGUUCGUGAAACGCAAGACGACUCAACCUGCGUCAUUUCCCAUUUUCCGGCUCUUUUGGAUGACAUCACACGUCUGGAUUACCAGCUUCCAAGGCACCAAGAGUGUGCAUGUCAUCUAGGGCUGCCACAAACGAUUAUUUUGAUAGUCGACUAGUCACCGAUUAUUUUUGCGAUUAGUCGACUAAUCGGAUCAUGCAUCCAUUGGACGUAAAACGUACAGCUUAUUGCACCAGCAGCAUCUGCUCUUAUAUAACAUUAGCUUACAGUUUUAAGUGUUUAGGGUAUGUGCUAACUAAAAAUAAAGACAAGAUGAUAGUUUAUUAAAUUUAAUGAGAUUUACAGAUUGUUUCGGUAAAGUUUAAUAAACUCCUUGCUAUCUAAAAUAUAACGGGACACCGGAGUAUAUUCUCGAACAUCU
ensembl:lncRNA